rnacentral:lncRNA from 1 species
UCCAAACGUGUUAGCAAAAAAUUUAGUGAAUAAACCGCGUACUGUUCGUAUGUUAAAACGAAAAGUUCCGUUAGAGUUAAGUGAACAAUAGGUACUAAAUUAAUGUGUAUAAGUUUAUGUCAGAAAUAGUCAGUGUUGUAGGCUAAGUUUUAAAAAAGGGGUGCAUCACUGGAUGCCUCCCUACAUGUCAUUCCUAAUUAUUGUCAGUCCUAUUACUUUUUGUCUGUUAUCUACCUAAACAUUUAGAUUUAGAUUGUAUAGAUAGAUUGUAAUAAAUGUGGGGUUAA